GACGAACGCUGGCGGCGUGCCUAAUACAUGCAAGUUGAGCGCUGAAGGUUGGUACUUGUACCAACUGGAUGAGCAGCGAACGGGUGAGUAACGCGUGGGGAAUCUGCCUUUGAGCGGGGGACAACAUUUGGAAACGAAUGCUAGUACCGCAUAAAAACUUUAAACACAAGUUUUAAGUUUGAAAGAUGCAAUUGCAUCACUCAAAGAUGAUCCCGCGUUGUAUUAGCUAGUUGGUGAGGUAAAGGCUCACCAAGGCGAUGAUACAUAGCCGACCUGAGAGGGUGAUCGGCCACAUUGGGACUGAGACACGGCCCAAACUCCUACGGGAGGCAGCAGUAGGGAAUCUUCGGCAAUAGACGAAAGUCUGACCGAGCAACGCCGCGUGAGUGAAGAAGGUUUUCGGAUCGUAAAACUCGGUUGGUAGAGAAGAACGUUGGUGAGAGUGGAAAGCUCAUCAAGUGACGGUAACUACCCAGAAAGGGACGGCUAACUACGUG
rnacentral:rRNA from 1 species